rnacentral:rRNA from 1 species
UACGAAGGUGGCUAGCGUUGUUCGGAUUUACUGGGCGUAAAGAGGACGUAGGCGGUUUUUUAAGUUAAGGGUGAAAUCCUUGGGCUCAACCCGAGAAUUGCCUUUAAUACUGAAAGACUAGAGUUUAGGAGAGGAUAGCGGAAUUUCCAGUGUAGGGGUUAAAUCCUUAGAUAUUGGAAGGAACACCGGUGGCGAAGGCGGCUAUCUGGCCUAAUACUGACGCUAAAGUGCGAAAGCGUGGGGAG